ACAAUGACAUGGGAAAAUGCAUGGGAUCUGUAUGAGGGCAUAUGAAACUUAUAGGUCCAGGAGUCACUCUCUUGUUGAUCCACAUGAGCUCAGGAGCCUGUGGCAGUGACCACCUGUAAGAAACAAGAAUUGGUGAGCUGCAAUAUGCCGGAAGGCAGUCCUUUCUCGUGAUUUUGCUGACAGAUGCUCGAAAGUGUUCUAUGCUGCAAGGCAUUCUCCUCUGAAAAUUGAGGAUCUAGUAGUCUGAACAGUAUGGAUGUUGAAUCUACACAUUUGGAAUGCAUGCUUGAGCCUCUGGUUCAUCUGCCUUGAAGGCAAAGCCUGCCGCCUGGAGAUGCAGCUCCAACCUGAUGCCAAACACCAUCCAGGAUCUCUGCCAUGUUGGUGAGGACAACUGCAGCCUCGCGCCAAGUGCGAACACCUAAUGCAGGAGGAGGUGGUCCGCUUCUGCAAGUUAAUGUGUCUUGGCUCAAAUGGCGCGACGAUUAGACUCGUGCAAAAAUAUAUCAAGGAGACCCUGAACGGAUCUUGGUGACAAUGUAGUUAUGAUCUAUCUGUCUUAAAUGGAGUACCUAAAUGGCCUGGUCUGCUGUCACCACCGACCUUAUCUACUACGGUAGCUGGCAGGCAGUGCAUGCAGGUGACUCCUUGGAAGACAAGGGACACUGUUUGGGCUACAAUAAAAGAGAAUCCUAGUAUGCAGCAUGUGAGACAAUCAUUACCUAGGUUAG